GGAUAGAAGUGGCAUCCUUUUUUUGCUGCCAUAUAUGGCAAAAAAAGAUAUAACGGAUAGCCUGACC
rnacentral:sRNA from 1 species